UACGAAGGGGCUAGCGUUGCUCGGAAUCACUGGGCGUAAAGCGCACGUAGGCGGAUUGCUAAGUCAGGGGUGAAAUCCUGGAGCUCAACUCCAGAACUGCCUUUGAUACUGGCGAUCUUGAGUCCGGGAGAGGUGAGUGGAACUGCGAGUGUAGAGGUGAAAUUCGUAGAUAUUCGCAAGAACACCAGUGGCGAAGGCGGCUCACUGGCCCGGUACUGACGCUGAGGAGGCGAAAAGCGUGGGGAGCGAACAGG
rnacentral:rRNA from 1 species